UUUGAAACUUCCAAUGAUUGGUUUUGCUUCUGUCUUCUGGGACUAAACAAAGCAAUUCUAAUCCUUUUAAUUGAUCCAUAUCAUAUCUUUCUCCUCAUGCUAGGAGAAGCAUGAGAUGAAGAAACACAAUUCCCAGCCAUUUUUUCUUUGCCCCUCUUCUCUACAGAAUGAAAGAGAGUAGAUGUAGUUGCAAGAUUAUUUAGAAAUAAAUUUUUGUUUAUGCCGGUGUUGGAGUGUGCUCCAAAGAACGAGGUGUGCUUAGGCAGAAAAUUAUCUUAUUUGCCUCUGUCAGGAGGAUAGAACUCUGGGCCAAUUCAGAUUCAGAAACUUAUUACAUAAGUGAUCUUUGACAUUUACUUCUGCCUGCCUCAGUUUCCUCAACUGAAAAAUAGGGCUAAAAACACCACUGCCUAGAUCCCAGGGCUAUUAUGGGGAUCAAAUGAUAUAUUUGUCAGAAAACAUUUAGCACAGUGCCUGGCACAUGAUACAUGUUUAAUAAAUGCUUGUCCUUUACCUUCUCCACUUUCCCUAAUGCAACCCUGUCACUCCCUCCUCUGGGCAGAUAAUUGGUGCUAUGUUGUUGUUCAGCCAUUUCAGUCAUGACCCCUUUUGGGUUUUCUUGGCAAAAAUACUGGAGUGGUGUGCCACUUCCUUCUCCAGUUCAUUUUUCAGAUGCUAAAGGAGGAGAAAAUGUCCCUGUAUUCUAGAAUAGUCAGGAAAUCCUUCAUGGGAUUGGUGGGUCAUCAAAGAAGUACUGGAUUUUGAUAGGCUGAGAAUGGUGGAAAAUGCAUCACAGAUAACUGAAGCCACCCCCCUCAAAACAAUUGUCUACUCAACCUUAAUGGGGCUUCAAUUGUUCAUUUUGGGUUUGGGGAAUUUAUUUCCCCUCGUGCCUGGUUAAAUGCAGGUGAUAUCAGCCAUACUUUCUUGUUAAGAGGCAACAAAGUGGUUUGAGGCUCCGAUAGGGAAUCAUUUGCUGCUACAGGAGAUGAUAGGAGCAUGGAUUUAGCCAUUGUCCGAAUGAGGAAACUUGAGACUGAGGAUUUUAGUAUCAAUGCAUUAUGGUGUGGAAGCUGCUGGAUUCCUGCGGUGUUUCAUUCAUGACAACGGUGAUGGCUAUUUGAAUCAACAUAAAUGAAGGAUCACUAAAGGCAAUCCAGAAAUUCAACAGCUGCUUAACUGCUGACUAUAUUACUACAUUCAGGAUGUUCCACUACCAAAGAAGAAGGCAAUCUUGCUUUACAGUCCCACCCAGAGUGCUGACUUCCACUUGAGUUGUAUCCAAUCAUGGUUUUUAUUGUAAAGGAAACCCAUGAAAUUCCAUCCAAGAAGAGCUGCUCUGAGGAUGGAUGGUUAUUCUCCUUGGCAUCACAUUACUGAUUAAAGUAAGCUGGAUUCUCCUGCCUACCUCUCUUACAAAGCUCAGUCAUUUAAGGUAGUUGAAUUCUCUGUUAAAACUUUGCAAGUUGAUUAAUAGUCAAAUUAUAAAGAAUCUUCAUCUGCACCAACUUAAUGCAAUGUUGCAUAUUUUAUUCUGUUUUUCUAUGUCUCUUAACCCCCAAAAGAAAGAGAAAACUUCCAUCUCAACUCUAUUUCUGGGAGAUACAAUCCUAAAUUGAUCCAGUGAUAUCCUUGUUUCUCUUGGCACACCAUUCUAGCUAUUCUGAGUCCUAGUCCUAUGAAGAUAAACUGAUGAUAAGUCUUAAGCUGUCAUAGAGAAGGAAAUCCAUAUACCUAGUUACCAUUUAAUCAUUGUGACAAGAUUUAUUCUGACAUAUUGCCUUUCCAAUUAGGAAAAAAAAUAGGAAAAUGUACUAAGGACCAAUGAAUGAAUAUAUUUUUCCUGACAAACUUUCACUUCAAUCCUUCCUAGUCUAUGAAUGGAGACAAUGACUAAUAAUCUCUUCUGUCCUUUUUGUGGGGGAAAGGGGUAUGGAUGCUUUCAGCUCCUGAAGAGGAACUGUUUUCAUCCUUGAUUGAUUAUGGGGAAAUGAGGCAUUUAAAGAAUUUCAAAUUCAACUCUGUUUUUUUUCCAGUUGCUAAUUUAACCCUGGAAAUGAACUAAGGCUGGAGGAUUCUUGUCCUAAUCUUAGAUAGCCAUAGUCUUCCCUUCUUCAUUGAGUUUCCUUUCCUAAAUGAGACUUCGGUAGAAAUGAUCAUAAAUAUCUUAACUUCUAGGAAUCCAUGGACAUUUGUGUAAGAAGAAGAUCAAUAAGUUCUUAUUUUUUAUUUUUUAGUUGAGGCAUUUUGUCAUAUUUUUCUUAAAUGCUUUAAGCAUCCAUUUUUUUUGUCUUUACUAAAGCAACUUGCUACCUGUUAGCAACUUGAUAGAAGGUCCAUGAGAGUUUCACCUAAAAGAUUUCUCAGUCUAUGGACAAGUCAAUGGGUUUGAAGUCAAGGGAUGAUAAAGUUCAAGUCAUGAAUUGUAAACCUCAAAAUUUCUUAGACUUAUAAAUGUUGGAAAUUUCACCAUUGGGAAAUUUCAUACUUGAAAAAUUUCCUAUUGAUAGUGGGUCUUGGCUAUUGGAAUGUGAACCCCAUUGGCAUGAGAGUUUCCUCCUCCUCCCUUCUUAAGAGUACUUUAGGACAGAAACCUUUUGCUGAACAAUGGAAAGGACUUUGACCUAUGCUUAAGCAUAGAACAGGAAUUUCUUUGAGUCAUGAUUGAUUUUAGAAUUGAUACAAUGGAGAUACUUGGAAUCAAUCUCCACCCUACUCAGUCCUAACAGGAUUGAGGAAGGGCUGCAGCAUAGAUCAAAAUUUAAUUAUUCCAAUCUCUACCCUACUCAGGUUAACAGGAUUUAGGAAGGGCUGUAGCAAAGGAUCAAAGAUUUAAUUAUUUGAAAAUAUGACCUUCAACAGACAUGUGCAAAGCCAGAGACCUCUGGGCAGUCCUGGGUUAAGCUAGAGCCUCCAUUGGCACAGGGAAAUUGAUGGACAGUGAUUGGUAGAUGUAGGAACUGAGGGGAGGUGGUGGAGGAGUUGGUCUGAGUGGUUGGAGUGUGCUCAGAGAGCUUGCUCUGAAGGAAGCUGAAGGUGGGGGCCUCUGAGACUGUUUCUCCAUUUUGGUCACGUGAGUAAUAGGGACUGAUCUCUUUUCUUUGCCCCAGCUAUCUAAGGGCUUGGGCCUUUUGGCCCAGCCUAAACAGAAGGGGUAUUUAAGCCCUAUUCCCUUCUCUCCAUUUUCUCUCUCUCUAUCUCUAAUUCCUUUCUUCCUCCUGUUUGUAAUUAAACUCCAAAAAAGGUUGACUGCUGACUUGUGUUUUCAUUUAGGAAUUACAUAGCUGAAUUCCUUGGUGACCUUAAAUUAAUAUA